rnacentral:lncRNA from 1 species
CAGUAGUGUCAAGUUAGUGUUGGAGGUUAGCUUUGGUUCUUUCAAACAAGCUAGGCAAGUGUGUAUAGUUGACAGGUUGAUCCACUUUAGCAUCUUUAGUACUAUCUGCAAUCAGUAAAUCUAGAAUGGUGGUAAGAAGUGGUUAGCCAUUCAAGUAAAAAUCAUAAGUUCAUAGUCCGCUUCUUGACUCAAUAAAAUUAUUUUUAAAAAUAUUUUGACAAAACUCAAGAAGAUGGUGUUAGUACUACCUCCCCCAGACUUAAAUUACACCGUCUCGCUGUAAAGUGUCCAAAGGUGGUGAUAAGCUAAUUUAGAUGUUUGAGAUGUUAAAGCAAAGGGUCAUACCUCUCUGUCCCGCCUAUCGAUCGAUACCAUCCUCUCCGUAUCGAUCGACGGCGUAGAACAGAAAAUUCUGCGUCAUGUCUGGAAUCUAACUCAUAUGGUCUGUCAGUUUGGUUAUCUCUGUUAGACACUCCAAACAUAAGAAAUAAGUAAACAGUCUCAAACACAAAGCAUAGAUAUGUCUAAAAUAUAAAUCCUACAAGUCCGAAAAAUAGAAAAAAAAAAACAAAUGCAUAAGGGAAAGAGAUAGAAAUGUGAGGACUAGUCGGUGUUCUCGUUGUUCGUGUCGUCGUCGCUCUCGGAUGAGGGGUCUCUGCGCUGCCUAGAACGUCCUGCUGCCGCUAGUGAGUGAGCUCUGAUGGUCCUCCUGCUCGUGCGAGAAACUCUAGCCCAUAUGGCACGAAGAGCAUCCACAACUACCCUCUGAAAAUCUCCCUAAUCGUGCAUAGGGAUGUCUGGUAUGUGCGGGAAAUCAGGAAGAGGUGCCUCUGGUGGUCCCUGUGUAGCUCUGGCUCGAUGCACUCCGGGAGGUCUGCGCGGGAUGGCUGGAAGAUCGCGGAGGAGCUGGGCAUCGGGGAGGAACCGGAGUCUCUCGACACUGUAAUCGAAGUCCGUGAUUGUCUUGUUCGGCAUCUGCAGUAGACGGCGCUGGUUCCCG